rnacentral:lncRNA from 1 species
UUGUCUGACUGACACCCAAGAUUGCCUUGUAAAUUCCCUCUGAAUAAAUAUUUGACUACUUACCAACCUUGAAGGGUCUGCCUCUUUCUUUGGCCUGAGCUUAUGAAGAGCAGUUCUUGGUUCUGACAAAGUGUUUUCCCAAUACAAAGGGUUUAGACCCUCUAAGGAUGCAUAACUAGCCAAGGCAGAAAACCAGUCUCUUUGCCACAUAAGAUUUUAAUUCCAACAUUACUCCACAAUUAAUUGAUAAUAUACUAUAUCAUCUUUAUUUUUACUAUUGUUAGUUAAAAAUGUGGGUUUUUUGUUUGUUUGUUUCUUUCAAGUCAAGAAUCUACUAUAGCUGUUUAUGGUCUAUCAUAUUAGAUCUAAAUUCCAGUUGUUAUUUAAAUUUUUCAAUCUAGUAUCACCUAAUAUGAAUUAUCUCUCCAAUUAAUUUGGUUUCAGGUUAUUUUUCACUGAAGCCAGGGAGUACAAAUUAGGUCUGAAACCUGUAAGUUUUAAAACAGGGUCUGCCUUGGGAAAUCUAGGGCAUCAGGUUCUUAGAUGAUAGGACAAUGCAAGCCAGGCAGUAGUGUCUUAGCUAAGCACCCUCUGAGCCAGUGAGCAGUUGGCUCUAUUUAAAUCAGUUAAAAAUAGACUAACCAGCAGUUAAAAUUUUCAGCACAGCAAAAAGCAGUGAGGACAAGGUUUAUUCUUUGAUCUCUAAAGGUUUGCUUCAUUGAGCCUGAUAAUGGUGCAUGACGUGAAGAAUGUUAGCUAUACUGUGGUCUCACAUUACCUUGGUUUUACUUAGUCAUCAGUGUAAUUUAUCUAAGGGCAACUUGCCGCUAAAAAAAGAGCUCAGCUUGAAGGCUUCUAGCUUACACAGCAGGAGUUUCUGGAAAUUUUACUGCUGGUGGUGGUGGAUAGAAGGCAGAGAUAUGGCCAGUAUCAAACGAGAUUAUGUCCUGGGAAUUCAGAGAUUACAGUCUGAAGAAUUCAAGAAAUAAGGCAUUUUCAAAACCUCAGAUCUUCUCCUUGAUUAAGAUUGUCUCCUA